GCCUCGAGUGCAUGGUGUGAUGAUGGGACUGCAGGACUGCUGUGCUGGGCUCUGCCUGAGGUGCCCGCGGAGCCUGCUGCAGUGGCUUCUCCAGCCCUGCGCAAGCAGAUGUCCAUGGGAGGAUUCCCGAAUCUGUAAUUGCACACAAAUGCACAAAUAUUUGGCUGUAAUCCUAUCGCUAAAGCUGAAAGGAAAAGAAAAGGCUUGAAGGAAAUGCUGCUGUGACAGAGGAAGGAAAGCAAGCCCUUGCAAGCAGGACUUGUUUUUCAGGCUGUGCAAAAGGAACAGGCUGUGUUUGCUCCAUAGCAGACUCCCUGCCAUGCUGGACUGGCUUUCUCCUGAAGGGAUGAGGAUGCUAGGAUCCUUGCUGGAUUUUGUAGGUAUGUGGGAUACCCCUCUCUUACCUCUUAGCACUCAGCAGAUGAAGUGGGUACAUGCAGUCCUCAGUCUGUGAGCCAUCCUGCCAUUUCAGGCUCAGACAAAUGGCACUUCCUCAUGUUUUCCUUGAUGCCGAAUGCUACAAUAGACAUUAUUGCUGCAAACGAUAUCUCUCCUCAAUAUGGAGUCGUUCCUCAAAAAAAAUGUUUAGAUAUUUGGAUAAACAUCUUCUGAACAAGUUCUUUUAUGAUGAUGAUGAUGAUGACUUUUGGAAAUAAUCCAGCCGUAAUGUAGCAGACAGGCAAUACAAUGAGUAAAAGCAAGCAGACCUGAAUUAUAUUAGUACAUCAUCUUACAUGGAGGUGGGAUUUCCAGAACUUUUCUCCAACGUAAAACAGUUGUAAAAGCUCUGAAUCUGGACACAAAAGAGUAUCUGCUCCCCCCGCUCCCCCUCCUCCCUCCUCCCUCACCCCGCCCCCCCCCUGACCACUCCCCAAUUCUGUAAACAGACGUUUAAUUCCCCCUCAGAUAAACAGGAGACUUCUUGUCAAGGGUAAAAUAAAAUCUCACUCAAGCACG